AGGUCUCAUCUGUGAAGACAGAAAACGUGUUUCCUGACCAUCAGCCACUGUUCACGGUAGGUAACCAGUCCUUCGACUCCCUUCCGGGAGUUACAGCGGCCUAAUACUUGGCUUGAGGCACGCUCCGCUAAGAAGGGAUUGGUUGUGUGAAGGGGUGUGGCACAAAGAACCCUCAGGAAUAUAGGCCACAGAGCUAAUGAAGUGCCCCAAGGAAAGAAAGUCUUACCUAUCAGCCAUGAAUUCUCUCCCCCCACACGGGAGACCUGAGGGCACGUGACCUAGGAAUGUGCAUCCCAAGAUAAUACUACCUUCAGAGAACUCUACUUAUAGGUAAGUAACUCUCCUUUAUAGGAGGUAUCUUUGUGUGGCACACUGUUUAUGGGAGCAAUUUGAAUUGAACUUUAAAUGAAAAAGGCAUAUCUCUGUAAGUGGUAAUAAUUUUAGUCAUCUCGCUGUGGCUAGGGGUUGUGGAAUUCAUUAGCACAGAUUAACAUAUAAAGUGGGUGAGAUAUCUAAUAGCAAACGGAGAGGUUUAGGGGCCUUAAUUCAUCACUGAAUGAACAGCGUGUACAGUAUUAGGGACUAUGAAAUUUUUAAUUUACACAAAGUGUCCAAGAAUAUAGGGAAUAAAUUUAAACCCAAAACAGAUAAUGGAGCUAUGCCCUGCCUGGCUGGCAAGUUGAAUUGUUUUUACACUGAGUGAAGAAAGCUAAUUAUCCCAAGCACAAGGAGACUGCUAAAAAUAAUAAGAUUAUAAGGAAUAAUUUGCUGAUAUAAUUACAACAAAAUUGGGUACACACAAUCGUCAGAUACAUGUAUUGCUUGACCUGGGUGAGAAAGUGAAAUAAAUCCUUCUUCUAUAGCCUUCGUAAAUUUGUUUUUAUCAUCUCCAAGUGCUGUUUGCACAGGCAGCACAAUUUGCAUGUGUAAUGUGGCUGUACAAAUUGACAACAAGUAAAUUAUUCAAGGAAAUAGGCUGGUCGCGGGUCUGAACUAUCUCGCAAAGCCUAUUCAUUUUGAAGAAUCACUGAGACGUGAAACUCAUACAUCAACCGUUUUCUGACAAUCCUCAGACUUAUUGUCUCCUAAAAUGUCAUUAUGGCUAUUAUUUAUGAAGCUAAUUCAUUUAUUAAUAUAUAUUUAACUCUGACUUGUCAUGCACCUUAGCAGACAUUCUGUGCACUGCAUAUUUUUGUACAGAUGAGAGACUUUUGCAUGCUUUAAUGAUUACUGUAAGCUGCUAUAGAUUUAUAGAAUGCAGCUUUAUUAUCUACUCGCGUUAAUACCUUUUUAUAACUUUUUUUUUUUUUUGCUUCAGGCCGUCAGAUAUAAAUGGCAAAUGACACAUCCAAAGAUUGUAUAGGAAUGAGAUUUUCCAAGAGUUUGUUGAAUUUUAGAACAAAAUGGGCAAUCUGUCAGUGAAGGCCUAAUUCACCUAAAAAGAUGGGUAUACCCCAAUUAUGUUGAAUUUUGCUGACACACGUAAGGCUGCAGUUUUUCAAGAAAAAAGGAGAAGAUGCACGAUUCAUUGAGCUCUCUCCUUCUGAGAAGACAGCCCACGCUUUCAUGUGCUGAGUUUGGGCAACGCUCCCCAAGAAAGCUGAAUCUUAGGUGUUCGUUAUUACUUUGGGCCUUGCACUCUGCCCUUUACAUUGUCUUUGAUCCAUAAAUAGGUGUUGCAAGAAUGAGCGAAUAGA
rnacentral:lncRNA from 1 species